AUUGAACGCUGGCGGCAUGCCUUACACAUGCAAGUCGAACGGCAGCACGGGUGCUUGCACCUGGUGGCGAGUGGCGAACGGGUGAGUAAUACAUCGGAACAUGUCCUGUAGUGGGGGAUAGCCCGGCGAAAGCCGGAUUAAUACCGCAUACGAUCUACGGAUGAAAGCGGGGGACCUUCGGGCCUCGCGCUAUAGGGUUGGCCGAUGGCUGAUUAGCUAGUUGGUGGGGUAAAGGCCUACCAAGGCGACGAUCAGUAGCUGGUCUGAGAGGACGACCAGCCACACGGGGACUGAGACACGGCCCAGACGCCUACGGGAGGCAGCAGUGGGGAAUUUUGGACAAUGGGCGAAAGCCUGAUCCAGCAAUGCCGCGUGUGUGAAGAAGGCCUUCGGGUUGUAAAGCACUUUUGUCCGGAAAGAAAUCCUUGGCCCUAAUACGGUCGGGGGAUGACGGUACCGGAAGAAUAAGCACCGGCUAACUACGUG
rnacentral:rRNA from 1 species